GACGAACGCUGGCGGCGUGCUUAACACAUGCAAGUCGAACGGAAAGGCCCUGCUUUUGUGGGGUGCUCGAGUGGCGAACGGGUGAGUAACACGUGAGUAACCUGCCCUUGACUUUGGGAUAACUUCAGGAAACUGGGGCUAAUACCGGAUAGGAGCUCCUGCUGCAUGGUGGGGGUUGGAAAGUUUCGGCGGUUGGGGAUGGACUGGCGGCUUAUCAGCUUGUUGGUGGGGUAGUGGCUUACCAAGGCUUUGACGGGUAGCCGGCCUGGGAGGGUGACCGGCCACAUUGGGACUGAGAUACGGCCCAGACUCCUACGGGAGGCAGCAGUGGGGAAUAUUGCACAAUGGGCGGAAGCCUGAUGCAGCAACGCCGCGUGCGGGAUGACGGCCUUCGGGUUGUAAACCGCUUUAGCCUGUGACGAAGCGUGAGUGACGGUAAUGGGUAAAGAAGCACCGGCUAACUACGUG
rnacentral:rRNA from 1 species